rnacentral:rRNA from 1 species
UAGGGAAUAUUGGACAAUGGGCGCAAGCCUGAUCCAGCCAUGCCGCGUGAGUGAAGAAGGCCCUCGGGUUGUAAAGCUCUUUUGUUGGGGAAGAAAAGCAUUCGGCUAAUACCCGGGUGUCCUGACGGUACCCAAAGAAUAAGCACCGGCUAACUUCGUGCCAGCAGCCGCGGUAAUACGAAGGGUGCAAGCGUUACUCGGAAUUACUGGGCGUAAAGCGUGCGUAGGUGGUUCGUUAAGUCUGAUGUGAAAGCCCUGGGCUCAACCUGGGAAUGGCAUUGGAUACUGGCGGGCUAGAGUGCGGUAGAGGGUAGUGGAAUUCCCGGUGUAGCAGUGAAAUGCGUAGAGAUCGGGAGGAACAUCCGUGGCGAAGGCGACUACCUGGACCAGCACUGACACUGA